rnacentral:rRNA from 1 species
AUGGGGUGCAGCAUGAGCCGCCUCCUCAAGACCACCGUCACGCUGAUCAUCCUCGUGCUUCUCCUCAUGCCCGGGGCCUUAGCCGCCACUAGCUUCGAUGCCUCACGAAGCCAACAGCUGCCGCUGCCGCGUGGGACGGUCCACGGGCCGGAGAGCGUCGCCUUCGACGGUCAAGGCCAGGGCCCCUACAGCGGCGUCUCUGACGGCCGGAUCCUCAAGUGGAACGGCGAAAAGCUAGGAUGGACUACCUAUGCAUAUGGACCCGGCUACGAUAGCAGGACGUGCACGCCGUCCAAGUUCAGCCCGGAGACUGAGACUGCCAGGGAGAGCCGCUGCGGCCGUCCGCUCGGCCUACGGUUCAACCAGAAAUCGGGUGACCUCUACGUGGCCGACGCAUACAAGGGGCUGAUGCGGGUUGCGCCGGGCGGCGGGGAGGCCACCGUGUUGGUCAACCAGGUUGACGGUUUUCCUCUGCGCUUCACCAACGGUGUUGACGUCGAUCAAGUUACGGGUCAGGUCUACUUCACCGACAGCUCGAUGAACUAUCAAAGGUCGCAGCAUGAGAUGGUCACUCGCACUGGGGAUUCGACGGGCCGCCUCAUGAGGUACGACCCACGGACAUCCGAUGUCACGGUGCUCCAGGCGGGCAUGACGUACCCCAACGGCGUCGCGCUCAGCGCCGACCGCACUCACCUCGUGGUCGCAUCUACCGGACCAUGCAAGCUGCUGAGGCAUUGGAUCAAAGGGGUCAACGCAGGCACAUCGGAGCCUUUUGCCGACCUGCCCGGCUAUCCAGAUAACGUGAGGCCCGACACCAAAGGAGGCUAUUGGGUGGCGUUACACCGCGAGAAGAAUGAGUUACCCUUUGGUCGUGAUAGUCAUCGUCUCGCUGUCAGGGUCGGUAACGAUGGGAAGAUAGUCGAGGAGAUGAGAGGGCCAAAGAAGGUGAGGCCCACCGAGAUUAUGGAGAGAGCAAAUGGCAAAAUCUACUUGGGUUCGGUAGAGCUUCCUUAUGUCGGCGUUGUUAAGCGCAAGUAG